GGAGGGUGCAAGCGUUGUUCGGAAUUAUUGGGCGUAAAGCGCGUGUAGGCGGCUUGGCAAGUCGGUUGUGAAAUCCCGGGGCCCAACCCCGGAACUGCAGCCGAAACUGUCUAGCUAGAGUCCCGGAGAGGAGAGCGGAAUUCCCGGUGUAGAGGUGAAAUUCGUAGAUAUCGGGAGGAACACCAGCGGCGAAGGCGGCUCUCUGGACGGUGACUGACGCUGAGACGCGAAAGCGUGGGGAGCAAACAGGAUUAGAUACCCUGGUAGUCCACGCCGUAAACGUUGGGUGCUAGGUGUCGCGGGUAUUGACCCCCCUGCGGUGCCGUCGCUAACGCAUUUAGCACCCCGCCUGGGGAGUACGGUCGCAAGACUA
rnacentral:rRNA from 1 species